rfam:Callithrix jacchus clone CH259-491G15, complete sequence.
UUUGCAGCUUUAGAUUGUGGUCAGAGGCUGUUACAAAAUCUUAUAUUCUAUGAUGGCUCAUAUGCAUCAUCUAGAGCAUGGUGGUUCUGUUUAUGAAUGUAUAAAAGGACAAUUUUUUGAUUAAAGUCAGCUUUGAGUUUAGAACGUAUUCCAGACAUCUUAGUUGCCCUUAGUUAUUUUGGGGGAUAUUUUUCUCAGCCAUUAAUAAAGCAAU